UACGGAGGAUGCGAGCGUUGUCCGGAAUCAUUGGGCGUAAAGGGCGCGUAGGUGGCCCGGUCAGUUCGUGGUGAAAGCGCGGGGCUCAACCCUGCGUCGGCCAUGAAUACUGCCGCGGCUGGAGCACUGUAGAGGCAGGCGGAAUUCCGGGUGUAGCGGUGGAAUGCGUAGAGAUCCGGAAGAACACCGGUGGCGAAGGCGGCCUGACU
rnacentral:rRNA from 1 species